rnacentral:rRNA from 1 species
CCUACGGGCGGCAGCAGUGGGGAAUAUUGCACAAUGGGGGAAACCCUGAUGCAGCGACGCCGCGUGAGUGAAGAAGUAAUUCGUUACGUAAAGCUCUAUCAGCAGGGAAGAAACACUGACCUUACGGUCAGCAGACGGUACCUGAGUAAGACGCCCCGGCUAACUACGUGCCAGCAGCCGCGGUAAUACGUAGGGGGCAAGCGUUAUCCGGAUGUACUGGGUGUAAAGGGAGCGUAGACGGUGCGCCAGGUCGGGAGUGAAAUGCCGCAGCUUAACUGUGGAACUGCUUUGGAAACUGGCGAACUAGAGUGCGGGAGGGGUAAGCGGAAUUCCUAGUGUAGCGGUGAAAUGCGUAGAUAUUAGGAGGAACACCGGUGGCGAAGGCGGCUUACUGGACCGUAACUGACGUUGAGGCUCGAAAGCGUGGGGAGCAAACAGGAUUAGAUACCCGAGUAGUC